UUGUGCUCUCGCAGGUACUUAUCGAUCCUGGUGGAGCCUCCUGCCAUGGUCCUGCUAGAUUGCCAUUACCAAUACUGUUGUUGCUGUGCACCUGUCUGUCUCUGUCUCUGUCUCUCUCUCUCUCUCUCACCCCAACUGGUCGAGACAAACGACCACCCACCUAGAGCCGAAGGAUCUGUCCUAGGUUUCUGCCUUUUAACAGGCAGUUUUUCCUUGCCCUUGUCGCCAAGUGCUUGCUCAUGGUGGUACUGUUGGGUCUCUGUAAUUAAUGUUUUAAAGAGUUCGGUCUAGACCUGCUCUAUUUGAAAAGUGUCCUGAGAUAACUUUUGUUAUGAAUUGGCGCUAUACAAUUAAAAUUGAAUUGAAUUGAAUUGAAUUGAAUUGAAUUG